CCGCUUGUAGAAUCACAACUUUGAAAUCAUCAAAACGUCCCUGUAGGAUCAAGAUCAUUUACUCUAAAAUAGGUAAAAUUUGAGUACAAUUACACCCUCAAAUCAGACCACAAAGGAUUAUGGAUUCAAGCUUCAAAAGAAGAAUUAAUCAUGAAAUCAAAUUGAACUUACAAAAACCUAGAUGAGGAAAUAAUUCCCACGAACUCUCCAGCCCACCUUUCACUCCC
rnacentral:lncRNA from 1 species